GAAACUAAUGCAAAUUUCUGUGGAAAUAGAAGCCCGUUCUGUUUCUAGCAAAAAACGCUUAAGCUAUCAAACUGGGCGGAGACGAUUCUAUUCUAAGAGGAAGUCAGCAAGGGUUCGGAUAAAAAAUCGGCAGCUGGCAGCAGGAAGUGGCUGCCAUUGACAGCCGGAAGGCAAGGCAGUUACUGGCAGCCGGAAGGUAGGCAGGACCUGCCACUCGGUGGCAGCCAAUCAGUAUCGACCAACGUGGACGCAACCAAUCACAUAUAACUACAACAGCAGCCAAAUGCUUCGGUAAUGGCGGCGAUUGAUCGAGCGUUGCCAGAUGCUGUCCUGUUGGAAAUUAUUAUUCACGUGGUGAAUUUGUUCCAAAUUCAGAAGUCUGGUGUAUACAGACUCAUUUCGAAAGAGGGCACACUUCUGCUGGCUUGACAAGUGUAACAAAAUGGAGAACAAGUCUGAGCCAUGCCAGGAAUUCUUCAAAAUGUACACACUGCAGCCCUGCGAUGAGGUUUACAACAACUGCUUACCAGGUCACCGUAGCCACCAGAUCCAGUACGUAUCCAGCCCAGAUGGUGGAUCAGCACCUAGAAAGGACCUCUACAGCCCUGAAAGACAGCGGAGACCAGGACAACUAGAGCCCCAGAGACAGAUCCCCUGUAAAGACCUUGUCUCAGACGACCACCGGGACAAGACCAUAGGAAACAGAUGAUUCUUCUGCACAAUCUGACUUUUCUGCAGCCUGGAAUUGAACUGCUGGUUUCGUCUGGUCAGAGGAGAACUGGCCCCCCGACUGAGCCUGGUUUCUCCCAAGGUUUUUUCUCCAUUCUGUCACCGAUGGAGUUUUGGUUCCUCUGGCUUGCUUAGUUGGGGACACUUCAUUUACAGCGAUAUCGUUGACUUGAUUGCACAGAUACUAUUUAAACUGAACUGAGCUUGAUGAUGACAUCACUGAAUUCAAUGAUAAACUGCCUUUAACUAAAAAAUGAGUGUUUACUAUUGUCCUUCUGCAUUAUUGACACACUAUUUACCUAUUUAAUACUGUAAAGUUGCUUUGACAAAAUCUGUAUUAUUAAAAGCACUAUAUAAAUAAAGGAGACUUGACUUGACUAUGUUGGAAGACG
ensembl:lncRNA